GGGUGCGAGCGUUAAUCGGAGUUACUGGGCGUAAAGCGCACGUAGGCGGAUUUGUAAGUCAGGGGUGAAAUCCCGGGGCUCAACCUCGGAACUGCCUUUGAUACUGCAAAUCUCGAGUCCGAUAGAGGUGGGUGGAAUUCCUAGUGUAGAGGUGAAAUUCGUAGAUAUUAGGAAGAACACCGGUGGCGAAGGCGGCCCACUGGAUCGGUACUGACGCUGAGGUGCGAAAGCGUGGGGAGCAAACAGG
rnacentral:rRNA from 1 species